GCAACUGGAGCCUCGAUCCCGCAUUUCCGCCUUGGCAGUUAGCACGCAAGUUGGAGGCUCGAUCCCACCUUAGCAAGUUUGCAUUGCGCUCCUCUAGGGUUUCUCUGUUUCUUCUUUCCUCUACAAUCUCUACACUCUGAGCUUCACUCACACAUUCUGUGCCAACUAUGAUUUCUCGUUAAUACCUAGAAUUUGAACUUGGUAACUGCUUUCAUGGACCGACUCUCGCUGUCACGAGCUCUCUCCCUCCGAUCUUCUCAUCUCAAUCUCCCUCCUCCGAAAACAGGAUGCAGUUGUGUUCUAUCCGCGCUGGCAACGCGAGGCGAUGCACGAAAUAAUGGCUCGAUGAUUCUCUGGUUCGAGCAGUAUCUCCUAUUCCACGAUCAUCCGGGCCUUAUCGCCGCCUUCUAACAUCAGGCAGUGGACCCGUGGUUCUCUGGCAGAAUCCGACCAUCCGGGCCCCGUAGUGCCUUGUGUCCGCCUCGACGCAGGCCGUGGUUCCUCUCCGCAGCUUCCAUCACCUGAUUCUUUCUGGAUUUGGCUGGAACCUGCAUGACGCUGCCCUGAGAUCAAUGGAUGCAUGAUAGAUUACACAUUGCUAAAACUCAGGAUGGAGCUUUGUUUGCUCCAGUGUAUCUAGAAGGAGAGUGUGUUUUGAAGCGAUCAAGUUUAUGAAAGACAGAAAUGCUGGUUUUCUAUCUCUCUCUGGAUAGUGAGCAGUCUCUGUUACUACAGCAGUUGAUAUGGAGAUACUGCAUAUAUCGUGGAGCCUAUUCAAUAAGAUAUGGAGAUAGAAUGGGCCAUUGAAUUCAGGUUCGGCUGUAAACUGCAUCCAUUUGUUUGGUGGUUAGAUUCUUUAAGGACUGUUUCUAUCGGGUAUGUCUCAUUCAAAGUUCUUGCCUUGUCACUGUUUAAAGAAACGGAUGCAUUUUUUUUCAAGAGAAAUACUUGACCAAUUUUUUUUGGAUAUUUGUGACCUUCCACUAAAAACUUAUCCUUUUCAGCACUCGUCUGUUGGUCAUAAGGUCCAGCCAUUCUUCUUGUGCAUUGUUUUGGUACUUUUGGGAUCACUACCGUGGCGACAUAAACAGUCAAGAUGAAGUCGGAUAUUCUCUCAGGUUGUGCUGAACUCAUAAAUUCAUGGUUAUUGUAAUGACUUUCAUAUGAUGACAAGAAAUCUUUGCUUUAGAUCUCCUUAAUCGGAUGCUUAAGUUCUUUGCUCAGAGAGCUGUACUUUUGGAAUAAAUAAUCUCUUAAGACCAUAGGCCUUAUAUAGUUAUUGAUGCUUUGGUAAUGAAUACUGUGUUAUGUCAUAUUGAAUCUCUUUCAUCGGUAAGCUUGUGAAGUAAUAGUCUUAUAUUGGUUGUAAUGAUGAGAUUGUUAUCCAAUAAAUGUAAAAUUGGAAAUGAUCAUGGUUUGUUGCCUAGACAAGCAUAUAGAAGUACGGUAUUUGUGGAAAAGAGUAAAAAUGAAGAUGAAAGAUUCAAUCGAGCUUGACAAAAAGAAAUGUGAUAUGUGUAUUCACGCACGCCUUGUAAAUAUUUGUUAACCUUGCUUUGACAUAUUUCAGAAAUAGUGAAUUUUUUUUAGGAAUAUUUAAACUUUAUGGUUUUUUCUCACACUUUAUUUGGGAAUCCUAGAGGACACUUGCAGCUGGAGAACGGCGAAGCUGUUUGAUUUUCUUUUCAAGAUUUCUGUUUAUUUGGACAUACUAAUUUUCGUUCAUGACAUGAGCAAUUAGAUUUAUUAUGUUAAUUAUGCUGAUUUUACCUUGUCAUCUCUCAAGAAAAAUUGCCCUUUUGAUUUUGUUAUUACAGUUUCUUCUGCCUCCACACCCCUUAAUCAACCAAUAUAUCACACAUUGAUUAUUAUGGAUCUCUGUAAGGUAAUAUUCAAGCUUUUAGAUUACUCGUUUUGGAUUCCUGUGUCAGUUGUUCCAGACAUUCAAUUUAAUUCACAAGCAUAAUCAGUUUUGAAACCACUACAGUUUAAUAGUUUAUCAUAUUCAUAAAGUGUUCUGAGUAUGAUAUUUUAUUGUUAGGCCUUCCUGGUGCCCUUCUUGAUUGAUAGCUGGAGCGCUUUGUUGCCUUUUUGAGACGAUAACUGACUUUGAUAUUGAGUGUUAAAUAAGGCUUAUCAUUUCAUUUUGUAAGUCUAGACUGUUAAAUCUUGUAACAUUCACUUGUAUUCAUUUAAAGAAAGCAAUAAAAGUUCCUAGGAAUCCUGUGAA